rnacentral:snRNA from 1 species
GUCCUAGCUUUGGUAGUACAUAUACUGAAAUUGGAAUGAUACAGAGAAGAUUAGCAUGGCCCCUGCUCAAGGAUUACACACAAAUUCAUGAAGUGUACCAUAUUUUU